AGAGUUUGAUCAUGGCUCAGAUUGAACGCUGGCGGCAGGCCUAACACAUGCAAGUCGAACGGUAACAGGAAGCAGCUUGCUGCUUUGCUGACGAGUGGCGGACGGGCGAGUAAUGUCUGGGAAACUGCCUGAUGGAGGGGGAUAACUACUGGAAACGGUAGCUAAUACCGCAUAACGUCGCAAGACCAAAGAGGGGGACCUUAGGGCCUCUUGCCAUCGGAUGUGCCCAGAUGGGAUUAGCUAGUAGGUGGGGUAACGGCUCACCUAGGCGACGAUCCCUAGCUGGUCUGAGAGGAUGACCAGCCACACUGGAACUGAGACACGGUCCAGACUCCUACGGGAGGCAGCAGUGGGGAAUAUUGCACAAUGGGCGCAAGCCUGAUGCAGCCAUGCCGCGUGUAUGAAGAAGGCCUUCGGGUUGUAAAGUACUUUCAGCGGGGAGGAAGGGAGUAAAGUUAAUACCUUUGCUCAUUGACGUUACCCGCAGAAGAAGCACCGGCUAACUCCGUGCCAGCAGCCGCGGUAAUACGGAGGGUGCAAGCGUUAAUCGGAAUUACUGGGCGUAAAGCGCACGCAGGCGGUUUGUUAAGUCAGAUGUGAAAUCCCCGGGCUCAACCUGGGAACUGCAUCUGAUACUGGCAAGCUUGAGUCUCGUAGAGGGGGGUAGAAUUCCAGGUGUAGCGGUGAAAUGCGUAGAGAUCUGGAGGAAUACCGGUGGCGAAGGCGGCCCCCUGGACGAAGACUGACGCUCAGGUGCGAAAGCGUGGGGGAGCAAACAGGAUUAGAUACCCUGGUAGUCC
rnacentral:rRNA from 1 species